GAAUGUGUUUAUAACUAUGAAUUCUUCUUUAAGUGAAGUCUUAGUUCCUCCUAUGCUCCAAAUUUUAACAAGUAGUAUUCUCACUUCCAUUCAUAUCAAGAUUUUUUUUAAGGAAGCUUUGAGGUUUGUUUGUUUCUGCCUGACUCACGGAUUUUUGAGAGAUUUUAUUUAAUUUUUAAAUUGUUUAUGUUUCUUUGGUUUUGAAGUCAUUUUCUGAUGAAUUCAUUUCUAAUUGUACCUUUGAUUUUUUUGUUUUAAUUGAUGCAUAAACUGAGAGAAAAAUGCUGAAAAUAAGAACAGGGACUUAGUGACUUUGGAGACAAUAUCAAGCAGGUUAACCCACAUGUACUUGGAGUUCCAAAAUAGGAGAAAGAACCACUUAGAAUGACUGACAGACGAGCUGGAGAGGAAGAUUACAGACCCCUCUUGGCUGAUUCUGUGGAAGCCCUCUGGGUCCCCAGACCCAGCCUGCUGGCAUCAGCACUUCCAUGUGGGUGGCUUCACCAGGCACCCCGGAAGACAGGUUCCCAGCAAGUUCCAGAGCAAGGACUUCCAGAAAAUUCCUCCAGCACAGCACCAGCACAUCUUCUCUUCCAUUCAAUGACAGCUUUGGGUAUACAUUCAAAUGGAAAUAGAAAAGCAUUAAAAAGUGCAGCUUCUCUUUUAUCAUCACUGACUGUACUGAAGAUCCUUUGUCUUCUGGCUUUACUAACCAACCAUUGCAGGGAUGGCUGACUUUUCUCCCCAGGUUGUCUUCACAUGGGAUCACAUCCUCAAAUACUCCAUACUGUUUUCCACAGUGGUUGUGCCAAUUUACAUUUCCACCAAUGAUUUAACAUCACAAAUUUGAAAACAUAAUUUGAAAAUCAUUAGAACCUACAGAAUAUUUUGUUUGCAUGCUCAGAAACACAAACAAGUAUACUGUUCCCCACGACAAUUGUAUUAAA